GCCUGCCCGCCUACCCGCCUGCCUUCCUCCCCCCGUUUCUCCCUCAGCCUUUGCUUUUGCGCCUCUUUGUCCCUGUGAGAAGCCACCACCGUGCUCCAUCUCUCUCUCACAACGCGGCACCGCUCUUUUCUAUGCUUCUCCUCUUCUUCCCCACCUCAGUGCCUCACUCACCCCAACUUGGGCUCUUCUGCUGCAGGCGGCUCUGUGUGAGUUCAGGAGACAUCCUAAGACUGCAAGAUAAUUUGUGGAAGCACCAUGAGUUGCAACAGGAGAAGAAGCUGUACACUACAAAUUACAGCCACUAAUAGGAACACAGAUGGCCAGUGGAGAAAUUGGUACAUGCUUUUCCAUGUGAAAAAUUUAAUUUCUGCAGAGAAUUCAGAAUGGGAGGCCCAAGGCAAA